rnacentral:tRNA from 1 species
CACGGGGUAGCUUAAUACUAAAGCCUCUGUUCUACAAUCAGACCAUGCCCAAUACCCAGGGCCCCCUUGA